UACGUACCGUACAAACGUUAUUCGGAAUUACUGGGCUUAAAGGGUUUGUAGGCGGCUUUGUAAGUGGGGUGUGAAAUCCCUCGGCUCAACCGAGGAACGGCGCUCCAAACUGCAAGGCUUGAGGGAGACAGAGGUAAGCGGAACUGAUGGUGGAGCGGUGAAAUGCGUUGAUAUCAUCAGGAACACCGGUGGCGAAAGCGGCUUACUGGGUCUCUUCUGACGCUGAGGAACGAAAGCUAGGGUAGCGAACGGG
rnacentral:rRNA from 2 species